GCGCGCGCCCGGGGUUGGGGGGAGCGGCGGGGACAGGUAACCGGCAGCGCCUGGGGAGGAAUCUGGCCGCGCCAAGUCGCUGGGUGACCCUGGGCCUGGCGAAGGCUCAGUUUUCUUGUCUGUAAAACGGACUUGGUAAUAGAACGCACUUCGGGGGUGGUGGAGAAGAUUACAAGCCCCGGCCCUGGACUCGGCGGCCGCGGAGGACCUGUCGGACGCGCUGUGCGAGUUUGACGCGGUGCUGGCCGACUUCGCGUCGCCCUUCCACGAGCGCCACUUCCACUACGAGGAGCACCUGGAGCGCAUGAAGCGGCGCAGCAGCGCCAGUGUCAGCGACAGCAGCGGCUUCAGCGACUCGGAGAGUGCAGAUUCACUUUAUAGGAACAGCUUCAGCUUCAGUGAUGAAAAACUGAAUUCUCCAACAGACUCUACCCCAGCUCUUCUCUCUGCCACUGUCACUCCUCAGAAAGCUAAAUUAGGAGACACAAAAGAGCUAGAAGCCUUCAUUGCUGAUCUUGACAAAACUUUAGCAAGUAUGUGAAACAAGAAGUUCUGGGUCCUUUCAUCAUAAGGGAGAAGCUUCAGAAAGUUCCGAGGACCUGCUAAAAUCAGCUACUAGAAUCUGCUGCCAGAGGGGACAAAGACGUGCACUCAACCUUCUACCAGGCCACUCUCAGGCUCACCUUAAAAUCAGCCCUUGAUCCCAUUUCUGGGCAAUUUAGACAGUGAAACUGACUUUGUUUACCUGCUUGCAGCAUAUUAGAACAGACGAUCCAUGCUAAUAUUGUAUUUUCUCUUAAAACAUAGCUUUCCUGUAAUUUAAAGUGCUUUUAUGAAAAUAUUUGUAAUUAAUUAUAUAUAGUUGGAAAUAGCAGUAAGCUUUCCCAUUAUAAUAUAUUUUUGUAUACAAAUAAAAUUU
rnacentral:lncRNA from 1 species